GCAUAUCAAUAAGCGGAGGAAAAGAAACUAACAAGGAUUCCCUUAGUAACGGCGAGUGAAGAGGGAAGAGCUCAAAUUUUAAAUCUAUCAUGUUUGUACAUGAUCGAGUUGUAAUUUGAAGAAGCGUUUUCUCGUACUUUAUGCAAUCAGUAUAAGUUCUCUUGGAACAGGACAUCAUAGAGGGUGAUAAUCCCGUCUGUUACUGGUUGUGAGGUUCGUUAUGAUACGCUUUCAAAGAGUCGAGUUGUUUGGGAUUGCAGCUCCAAAUGGGUGGUAAACAUCACCUAAGGCUAAAUAUUUGCGAGAGACCGAUAGCGAACAAGUACCGUGAGGGAAAGAUGAAAAGAACUUUGAAAAGAGAGUUAAAUAGUACGUGAAAUUGUUGAAAGGGAAACGAUUGAAGUCAGUCGUACCGGCGGGAAAUCAGCUUCUCGAGUGGGGGUUCGCGGGUGCGUGGAGCUUCGGCCUUCGUUGCUUGUGACACCUUUUGCUUCUGGAGCGUACUUUUCCGUGUGGUAGGUCAACAUCGGUUUUGAUUGCCAUAAAAUGACCGGAGGAAUGUGGCUUCGAUCUUGUAUUGGAGUGUUAUAGCCUCUGGUAGAUGUGGUGGUUGGGAUCGAGGAUUGCAACGAAUACCCUUUGGGCUAUCCGCCUGACCUCUGAAAGUCGCUUGGGUACCGAAAGCUUGCUUACGGUCAUUCAAGUUGGCGGUCAAAAGGUUAGAACGUGAUUAAAUUGGUUAAGGAUGUUGACGUA
rnacentral:rRNA from 1 species